rnacentral:misc_RNA from 1 species
AACAAGGCGUACCUGCGGACCUGCGGAAGGAUCAUUACCGAGUUUACAACUCCCAAACCCCUGUGAACAUACCUAUAUGUUGCCUCGGCGGAUCAGCCCGCGCCCCGUAAAACGGGACGGCCCGCCGCAGGAUCCACAAACUCUGUUUUUAUUGUAACUUCUGAGUAACAAAACAAAUAAAUCAAAACUUUCAACAACGGAUCU